rnacentral:ncRNA from 2 species
CAAGCCUAAAUAAAAAAUAGUUACAUUUGUACCGCAUUAUAGCGAUUGGGAAUUCCGUGCAAACCGGAAACUGUAUCUGCAGCUGUAAAUCCUGUGAAUGCCAUUCAAUAAGUCACUGUACGUCAUUUGACAAGCGGGAAGGCGGAUGGACGGGGAUGAGUCAGAAUACCGGCUAUGAUGUGUAUUAGUGA